rnacentral:rRNA from 1 species
AAGCAGCCAUCCUUGAAAGAGUGCGUAAUAGCUCACUGGUCAAGUGAUCGUGCGCCGACAAUGUAGCGGGGCUCAAGCACACCGCCGAAGCCGCGGACCCAUGACAUGGUUCCCUUCAUCGUGCGCCUUGUGCGUGUGGUGGCAGGGGUUGUGGGUGGUAGGGGAGCGUCCUGCACCGGGGGAAGCCUGUGGGUGACUGCUGGUGGACGGUGCGGGAGUGAGAAUGCAGGCAUGAGUAGCGAUACUAGGGUGAGAAGCCCUAGCGCCGAAUGACCAAGGGUUCCAGGGCCAGGCUAGUCCGCCCUGGGUGAGUCGGGACCUAAGGCGAGGCCGACAGGCGUAGUCGAUGGAUGACGGGUUGAUAUUCCCGUACCGGCGAAGCACCGCCCAUGCUGACGCGCGGGUGCUAACCCACGCCCAGCCACCAAGUUCAGCUGCGCCUACUCCUUUCGGGGGGUGGUGUGGUUGUGGUGGUGGGGUCUGGGGAUCCUCCGUGCAGGUAGGCAAGCGUGUUAACAGGGGUGACGCACAGUGGUAGCCCGGCGGACCUGAUGGCUUGGUCCGUUCAAGCGCGCAGCCCGUUGCCCAGGUAAAUCCGGGGGACUGUCUUUGAUGACGGGGGUGAGGCGUGAUGGUGACCCCACGCUGGUGGGGGAUAACAGGGUGAUCCUGGGGUGCCGAGAAAAGCCUCGACGCGAUGGUGCCAGCCGCCCGUACCCUAAACCGACACAGGUGGUCGGGCAGAGUAUGCCUAGGCGCACGAGUGAAUCAUGGUUAAGGAACUCGGCAAAAUGCCCCCGUAACUUCGGGAGAAGGGGGGCCUGAUCCCUGAAGCCCCUUUGCGGGCUAGGGGGGAGGGUCGCAGAGGCCAGGGGGAAGCGACUGUUUACUAAAAACACAGGUCCGUGCGAAGCCGUAAGGCGAUGUAUACGGACUGACGCCUGCUUAAGCCCCAGUAAACGGCGGUGGUAACUAUAACCAUCCUAAGGUAGCGAAAUUCCUUGUCGGGUAAGUUCCGACCUGCACGAAUGGCGUAACGACUUCCCCGCUGUCUCAACCAUGAGCUCGGCGAAAUUGCAGUACGAGUAAAGAUGCUCGUUUCGCGCAGAAGGACGGAAAGACCCCGGGACCUUUACUACAGCUUGGUAUUGGCGCCCGCUAUAGCUUGUGCAGGAUAGGUGGGAGACUGUGAAGCCGUUACGCCAGUGGCGGUGGAGUCGUCCUUGAAAUACCACUCUGGUUAUGGCGUGCGCCUGAACCUGGGCCCGUGAUCCGGGUUAGGGACAGUGCCUGGUGGGUAGUUUAACUGGGGCGGUUGCCUCCUAAAGUGUAACGGAGGCGCUCAAAGGUUCCCUCAGCCUGGUCGGCAACCAGGUGUUGAGUGCAAGUGCACAAGGGAGCUUGACUGUGAGACCGACGGGUCGAGCAGGUACGAAAGUAGGAACUAGUGAUCCGGCGAUCCCGUGUGGGUGGGUCGUCGCUCAACGGAUAAAAGGUACCCCGGGGAUAACAGGCUGAUCCUGCCCAAGAGUCCAUAUCGACGGCAUGGUUUGGCACCUCGAUGUCGGCUCGUCGCAUCCUGGGGCUGGAGCAGGUCCCAAGGGUUGGGCUGUUCGCCCAUUAAAGCGGUACGCGAGCUGGGUUUAGAACGUCGUGAGACAGUUCGGUCCCUAUCCUCUGCGCGCG